rnacentral:rRNA from 1 species
GACGAACGCUGGCGGCGUGCUUAACACAUGCAAGUCGAACGGAAAGGCCCCUUUGGGGGUACUCGAGUGGCGAACGGGUGAGUAACACGUGAGUAACCUGCCCUUGACUUCGGGAUAACUUCAGGAAACUGGGGCUAAUACCGGAUAGGAAUCCUUGCUGCAUGGUGGGGGUUGGAAAGCUUCGGCGGUUUUGGAUGGACUCGCGGCUUAUCAGCUUGUUGGUGGGGUAGUGGCUUACCAAGGCUUUGACGGGUAGCCGGCCUGAGAGGGCGACCGGCCACAUGGAGACGGAGAGACGGCCGCGCCUCCGACGGGGGGGAGAAGGGGGGAAUAUUGAAGAAGGGGCGGAGGCCGGAUGCAGCAGCGCCGCGGGGGGGAUGACGGCUUUGGGGUUGUAGCCCGUUUGCGGAAGGGGCGAUGCUUGGGGUGACGGUACCUGAAAAAGAAGCCCCGGCUAACUACGUG